UACGUAGGGUGCGAGCGUUGUCCGGAAUUAUUGGGCGUAAAGGGCUCGUAGGCGGUCUGUUGCGUCAGGAGUGAAAACUCGGGGCUUAACCCCGAGCCUGCUUCUGAUACGGGCAGACUAGAGGUAUGCAGGGGAGAACGGAAUUCCUGGUGUAGCGGUGAAAUGCGCAGAUAUCAGGAGGAACACCUAUAGCGAAGGCAGCUUGCUGGGACGUUACUGACGCUAAGGCGCGAAAGCGUGGGGAGCGAACAGG
rnacentral:rRNA from 1 species